rnacentral:rRNA from 1 species
UACGUAGGGUGCAAGCGUUGUCCGGAAUUAUUGGGCGUAAAGAGCCCGUAGGCGGUUCGUCGCGUCGGCUGUGAAAACCCGGAGCUCAACUCCGGGCCUGCAGUCGAUACGGGCGGACUUGAGUGUUGCAGGGGAGACUGGAAUUCCUGGUGUAGCGGUGAAAUGCGCAGAUAUCAGGAGGAACACCGGUGGCGAAGGCGGGUCUCUGGGACGGUACUGACGCUGAGACGCGAAAGCGUGGGGAGCGAACAGG